rnacentral:rRNA from 1 species
UACAGAGGGGGCAAGCGUUGUUCGGAAUUACUGGGCGUAAAGGGCGCGUAGGCGGCCUGCUAAGUCGAACGUGAAAUCCCCAGGCUUAACCUGGGAACUGCGUGUGAUACUGGAUGGCUUGAAUUCGGGAGAGGGAUGCAGAAUUCCAGGCGUAGCGGUGAAAUGCGUAGAUAUCUGGAGGAAUACCGGUGGCGAAGGCGGCAUCCUGGACCGACAUUGACGCUGAACGGCGAAAGCUAGGGGAGCAAACGGG